AUAUUUCAGUUUUUUGUGAGAUUUGUUUGAUUGUAUUAAAAAUUAUUGUACGGUAAUAAAUAUAAAUAUUUUUAUGUACAAGAACCUUAUUUAUGCAAAAUAUGGUGUAUGGUUUUGUAGUAUUAAUUUGUACAUAGAAAGUAUUUAUAAAAUUAAAUUGUUACGAAAAUCAAGGGGUGUCCCAAUUUUUUAUAAGAAAAGGGGGCGCGGACACGAAAAGGCCUAAUUCUUUUAUUCACCGUGAUGGGCUUAAUAAAAAUUGCUUGGUAUGGGUACGCGCUACCUGCACGGUGCGGCCGGGGUCUGAUUCCGGAAAAAAAGACCCAACUCUUAUCCCAUAAAAAUAUUGUUAAAUUAUACUUUAUCGAAUGGCUACUUCCUCUUCUUCUUCCCCAGUUCCCAGUAGGUGGGCUCGGCCCUUCCCAUCUUCUUUCUCCGUUGGCUCCUAUCUGGCUAUCUCUGCCGUCACCGCCGUGUCUUCUCCGGUCCUCUCACUUCUCGGUCUCUGGCCUUUUAUCUCCGGUCCACCUAGUCUGAGGUCAGAAUGGUGGCUCUCCUCUCUCGUUUUAUCCCCAAUAUCUUCUACUUUGGCAGUUUUUCCCACCUAUUCGUUUUCUAUUCUGUCCUUUAGGGUUUUUAUCCGGUUUUCGUCACCUUAGCGACGCGCUUUUCGGCUCCGUCCGUAACGGAUAGUCCCGGGACAGUUUUAUACCCUGGCCGCUUUAGCUUCCGGGACAUCCGACGAUCGCAUCCCACACCCGUCACCUUGAGCCGGAAUGGUCGGGUUAACCUUAUUCUAUUCGAAACUUCUGACUUUAUGGUUUCACCCGUUCCAGCCCAGAUUUUUAAAUGUGUUUAUCGACUUUAAUAUCCGGUCUGCCGGUGGCGGUAUUGAUCCGACCCGGUGACAGUCUAGUCCACCGCCGACCUGUUCCGUGUUUGUUCCGGUCAAUCUUAGUCCGGUCAGCCACCUCCGCACACUUCGCGCCACUUCUUCGCUGGUUUCCCGGCCCAAACCGUAUGGUCGGUAAGGAUCCCACACCACCGGCUUUGACGCGAUAUCGUCUCCGACUCCAGAACCAGCCGUAAACUCUCACGUCGAACCGUGAUGCCUGCCAAUGAUAUCUAAUUUCCGCGCUUCUCCCCGGGUGGUUCUAACGCCAGUUCUACGGUUAGCCUAAGUAUCCGGUAUCCGAGAUGUAGAAUUUCGAAAGCAAUGUACAACGACAUUGGCGGAGAUAUCCGGACCUUCUUCGGUAUCGAUACGGAUACUCGGUCCUACCCUUCUCUAGAUUUAUAAAUGGCCAUACGCCAUUCGUUUCGGAGAUGAGGGACGGUUUUUUGGCGGUUCUACG
rnacentral:lncRNA from 1 species